rnacentral:lncRNA from 1 species
GAUCCCUUCAAGCACACCUACAAAACAAAUUAAUGCUCUUUAGGUACCCAUGCCAUCUUGGUCCUUGAGGGUUAGGCAUGUUAUAAUGAUGCAAUUGAUUUAUAUGUAUGUGACGAGUAAAGCAAGCGGGAGCAAUAUGACCAAUACGUCUACAAUAAUGACAAGUCAAAUUGGGAUUAUGCAUUUUUCUAGGUACAUAGUAACUAGAUGAAUGAAGGUUGCUUACUCUACU